rnacentral:rRNA from 1 species
CAGUAGCCGCGGUAAUACGUAGGUGGCAAGCGUUGUCCGGAAUUAUUGGGCGUAAAGGGCUCGCAGGCGGUUUCUUAAGUCUGAUGUGAAAGCCCCCGGCUCAACCGGGGGGGGUCAUUGGAAACUGGGAAACUUGAGUGCAGAAGAGGAGAGUGGAAUUCCACGUGUAGCGGUGAAAUGCGUAGAGAUGUGGAGGAACACCAGUGGCGAAGGCGACUCUCUGGUCUGUAACUGACGCUGAGGAGCGAAAGCGUGGGGAGCGAACAGGAUUAGAUACCCCCGUAGUCCCUGUCUCUUAUAC